GGCUUGGCAUUUUGUUAUCUUUGUCAAAAGAUAUCUCAUACCCCACAUGGCACACGCUCUUAUCUUUCAGGAUCAGAUGCUCUCUGUCUGCUUCUUGAAUCAUGUUUACGAAUGUUGCCCUUCCACAAGUGGAGAACAGCAGUGCCCUUAUGACGUUGCUACUUCAGGCCUGCCGGUUAGCAAGGAUUUAGGAUUUUGGGGGUUCUAUUAGAGAACAGAGUAAGAAUAAAGCGAGAGGAGAUCCUGUCUGCUUAUUUCCAGGCUGCUUCUAUGUGUGUGGAUUCAGGCUGUGGGUUCACAGGCAGCUGAGUUGAUUGGAUGGCUUCAUUCCUCUGAAAUGAAAUCUUACCUCCUCUUCCUUCUCUUGCCCUUCAUCUUCCCCCUCACCUCACCCUUCGUACUCCCCUCCUUCCACCAGUGCCUGGUGUGUGCCACACGUGUGCUGCACGUGUGACCCAUGCGAUGAGCCAGUUCAGUUCCCCAGUCCAGCAGAAAAUUGUCUUGAGUUUUUCUGGGUUAUUUUUCUGUUGAGUUGGUGAGCUGUGUCAGUUCAGAGACAUUUAUGGACCAACAUUAGAAUGAAUGGUGAGACUGUGAGGCUGAGGGCAGCAAGGGAGGGGGAACUGGGGAGGGCAGCCUCACCGCUUCUGCAGAGAUAAAAGCAUCAGAGAUAAAAGUGUGAGUAUCGGAGUUUUUAUCAGAGAUAAAAGUAUUGUGUCAGCCCAUUGCAUCUCUCAAAAUCACAGCUUCAGUUUUUCUCAGGAAAGUACGUGCAUCUCUGUUUAUAUGCAGAUGACUUUCUGGUUCUCUCUCAUAUCUCCCUCUUCUCUCUGACAGGCAAGACUUCGGUUCCUCGGCCUCCUGCCCCAUCUUUUAUGGAUCUCAGGAACUGCCUGUGAGGCUGGCACAUGGCCCUGUCCAUAUUAGUUGCUGGUUCUCACGGCUGGUCCUACAGACCAUUACUGGUGCAAGCUUUCAUUGGCUCUGUGUCAAACACACACACGUACAAGGAUCUGUCCUGUCCAUCAAAGCCAUGGAUUUACUGAAGUUAUGUGUGUUCAUGGUCCGAAGAGAAACACAUCUGUAGCAGCUGGUUCACCAGAUUUGUGAAGUUUCCCAUACAUUGUGAUUCCCAACCAGACCACUGGCAUACCUCAUGAUUCCCAGCCAGAUCACUGGCGUCUCACAUGUUUCAGUGGGGCUGGCGUACAACCCUGCUCACAGAACAGUACAUUGUACAUCCUGUGCUGAAGAGUUAAUUUCCCUGCUAGCUGCUCUGCCACACCUAAGGCGAACUUUCUCCCCAAGCAGCAGGAGUCAGAGGCUGCACCCAGAGAGCACCCUGGAAAACAGAGGAGCAGCAGUAUACAUCACCAGAGGCUGCAGGAGAAUACUGGAAGCAGAGGAUGGGAUCUGCCGCCUGUACCAUGCAGCAAUCAGAGCUAUCCCUACUUGUUCUUUUGAGAUAAAACACACUUUUUAAUGCUUAGAUUUUAAUUACCUUUCUACUCAAUGUACAGGCUUGUAGAGGAGCCCACCCUGUUUUGUAUUUUCUUUAAAGGAUCCAUAAGUUCAAUACGAUGAGACCUAGCUUAGUAAAGAUAAGGAAAGGUUUCCCCAGGGAUGCUGUGGCAUGAAAGAGGUUUCUGUCAUGAUAUGGUCAUUCUAACAAAGCAGAGCAAUACAUGAGGGUUUCUCACCUUUAACUUGUUGGCAUUAUACAGCACAGACCUUCCACUAAUUGUUACAAAUUCAGAAUAAGAAAAAAUAAAUGAAAAACAGAAGUUGAAAUUGUGAGUUAAUGAGAGCAAAAUGUGGAGUGGGCUGCAGCAUUCUGUUUGUUAAAUACUGUUGUUCCUGGAUCAAAGAGAGUGAGGUAUCUAGCAAUUAUUUAAACCUGUUUUAAAACUUCCUUCAAGAAAAUUUACUAAGAGACCUCCUUCUCAUAUCACGAAUGGAUUUGUGGAAAGAUGUUUACCCCUCAGAAAGCCUCAUAGUUUGGCUUAUUACAGAGACAAAAAUCAAUAACAUGCAAACUCUCACCAGUGUUUUUCUCUUUAGGAUGAUUUAAAGGUUAACAAACUGUUUCCUUAACAGUUUUGAGGCUGGUGUCAUAGAAUCAUAGAAGCAUAGAAUGUCCUGGGUUGAAAAGGACCACAAUGAUCAUUGAGUUUCAACCCCCCUGCUAUGUGCAGGGUCACCAACCACCAGACCAGGCUGCCCAGAGCCACAUCCAGCCUGGCCUUGAAUGCCUCCAGGGAUGGGGCAUCCACAGCCUCCUUGGGCAAC
ensembl:lncRNA